rnacentral:tRNA from 1 species
GUUGUUUUGGCAGAAUAGUGCAAUUGAUUUAGAAUCUUUAUAUGUAUUGAUAAUACAGAUAACA